rnacentral:rRNA from 1 species
GAUGAACGCUGGCGGCGUGCCUAAUACAUGCAAGUCGAGCGAAUUGACAGAGGUGCUUGCACCUCUCGAUUUUAGCGGCGGACGGGUGAGUAACACGUGGGUAACCUACCUAUAAGACUGGGAUAACUUCGGGAAACCGGAGCUAAUACCGGAUAAUAUUUAGCUUCGCAUGAAGCAAUAGUGAAAGACGGUUCUGCUGUCACUUAUAGAUGGACCUGCGGUGUAUUAGCUAGUUGGUGAGGUAACGGCUCACCAAGGCAACGAUACAUAGCCGACCUGAGAGGGUGAUCGGCCACACUGGGACUGAGACACGGCCCAGACUCCUACGGGAGGCAGCAGUAGGGAAUCUUCCGCAAUGGACGAAAGUCUGACGGAGCAACGCCGCGUGAGUGAAGAAGGUUUUCGGAUCGUAAAACUCUGUUGUAAGGGAAGAACAAGUACGUUAGUAACUGAACGUACCUUGACGGUACCUUACCAGAAAGCCACGGCUAACUACGUGCCAGCCGCCGCAGUAACAC